UGAUCAUUAUUUUGCGGUCCA
ensembl:piRNA 21ur-4309 ncRNA